AACGAGGCCGACCUGCGGCUGAGUUACCUGCGGAGGGAUCAUUAUAGAGUUUUCUAAACUCCCAAACCCAUGUGAACUUACCAUUGUUGCCUCGGCAGAACCUACCCGGUACCUACCCUGGAACGAGCUACCCUGUAGCUACCCAGGAACGGGCUACCCUGUAACGUCCUGCCGGUGGACUUCUAAACUCUUGUUAUUUAUAGUAAUCUGAGCGUCUUAUUUUAAUAAGUCAAAACUUUC
rnacentral:misc_RNA from 1 species